UUCACUCGGUUACAUCAGAACGUGUUUUUUUUCCCUUUACUAUUAUUAUAUUUCUUCUUUUAGCUGUACCGAAGAUGUGAACGUGUCAAACAAAACAGCGAAACAAAACAAAAACGAAAAAGAUGGGGAAUCGAAAAGAAAACGGACCGAUGAUAAAUGGGCCCUACAAGUCCGUCAAGUCGGAAGAUACAUUGCGCAACAGUCGUAACGUGCGACACAACCAACUACUAGCGGCGGUGGCGGCAAGCAACACAACACAAGAAUUUUAUUUUAUUUUUUUUCAAAGGAUUUCCAUCUUUUUAUUUUCUUCUCCUCUCUUUUCAAAAUAUAACGCUCAUUCGCCUUCGGGAGAACGCGGUAAAAUGGAGGGAAAACAAAAAAAAAGGGACCCUUGACCGGACCAAGCGGCGAAGAGUCAUCAACCGAAAAGAAAUCCUUUUUCUUAUAUUUUUAAAUAAGCAAGGCGCGCCGGUGCUCUUUUCGUUGUGUAGGGGCCAUCAUCAAUAGGACCAGGGCAAAAAAAAAAACCAAAAAAAGCAACGGUCAUUAUCAUAUUUUGAUAGAUUGAACUUUCGGCCAAGAACAAGCAAAAAAAAAACAACAAAAUCUUAACGAAAAAUAGUCGAUAGUUUCUGAUUUCUUUUUUAAAAUUAAACAAAUUAAGCGGGGAACUCCUGGCUAUGCCAUUGGGUUCUUGUUCCCCCCCCUCCACUGACUUCGUUAGAUUCCUGUUGAAUUACGUCAACCGACUACUCAAAUUCAAUCGAAAUUGAAACGAUCCUCGCGUGAUUUCCAAUUAUCGGUGUUACAUCAUUUCAGAGUCACCACUCCCUGCUGAUAAGAGCGUCUCAAGUCGGGGUUUGGUGAAACAACUUGACGCCCCACACAAAAUAGGAGAGAUAGGGAAGGGGGGAUGACCGUCACGACAUAAGAGGUGAAGGUAUUUGAAAUUCCGAUAAGACGUGUAAAAAAAAAAGAGAAUGGCGAACGUGCAACGGGCAUUGUAAUAUAAAACAGAGAGAAAAACAAAUGUCAACUUACCGUUACGUAAAAAUAAAUUUGAAAAGAACAAUUCAAGAAAAAAAGAAGUGAACGCGAUCAACAAAAUCCAGCGCUAUAAAAAACGUGCGCGCGCACGGACCGUCUCUCGAUGGCAGUUGGUUAUAAUCCUCUGAUUCGGUUUGGACAAGUUGGCAAACAACUUGUUUUGUGUUGCUUCUUCUAGCCUUUUCGUGUGUGUGUGUGAGAUAGAUAAACUGAUUGGGCAAAAAUAGCAAAUUAACGGGGUCAACUAUGCACUCGAAUUCCUUGCCGAUCCAUCCUGUUCAAAGUCUGACUCGUCGCAAGUAGAUCACUCGUUUUCAAAAGAAAAUCGCACUUUCAAAUCGCACACUGCCACUGGACUAAUCUUCAAUUAUGUUUCGUUUUUUUGUUGGACAAUCUGGCCAAUAACACUGAACCCCCACCAACAAAACAAAAAUGUAAGAAAUACCCAAACUUUAACCGUACGGGGGUCACAUACACACGCAAAUUCCUUGGCACAAAAAUAAUAAUAAUAAUAAUAAAAUAAAAAAUCUUCUAUUUCAUGUCGUUUCGUUUGGCAAAAAGCGAACACAGACGACAGGACACUGUAGAACGGAUUUAUAAAUUUUCAACACACACACACACAAAAAAGAAUGGACGGUGUGUGUAGGGGAGACUGCGAGGUCUCUUCUCUUCAGCGUGUCCUCCGCACAUGUGACUGGGAGCUCUGGCGAGUCUUGUAAGAGAGUGUACAGUGUUUGGGCACAAAGUUUGAAGAAGUGAGCCUCCUUCUCUUUCUGUUUCUCCUUCUCCCGGCCGCCGAUGGGGCGUAGUAGAAGAAGGAGGAGAAAUGGGAAAAGAAGAAGAAGAAGAAAAAAAGAGAAAAAAAAAAGAAAAAAGUGGGAGGAGUUGUUGGUGAAGAACUGGAAGACCCUCGCGCCACCACCAGCAAAAGAGAAAUAAAGUUUUUUUUUUUUUUUUUUUUUGCUAUUUACUGCUGGACUCUUGUAUGUAUGUGUGCAACACGGACGCGCUAGUAAGACGGGCAUACAACGGAAGAAAAGAAAAUAAAAUUUUAAUUCAUAUUUUUUUUUUCCAGCUACAAAGAAUGGCACAUCAAAAAGGAAUGCCUCAAGAAAGAGAGACGUUCUACCUGGUCUUUGAAGAGGGGGGGAGUAUAAGGUCAGAUAGGAGGAGGGCACCAGCAAAGUACUGGCCAAAAAGAGAAAAAAAAAAUUGCUGAUGGCAUCCAGGUGAACUGCUAGUCCCCCUGUCUAUAAGAGGAUCCAACAAAGUUGACCGCAUAGAAUUUGUCAUUCAACAGCCGACGACGAUGUAAAAGGAGAAGUGUCCAGGAAUCAAUUUGUUAUGAAUAUUUUAUAGACGGCUAGUGGUUGGUCGUACAAUACUCGGAAACAGAGAGGAGGGGAGACGAGAAUUCGAAACUGUCGACAAACAGACCGACACGUCAUUUUGAAAAAAAGGACCCCUUCGACAUUUCGAGUUGCAUUAAAACCAAGUCACUCACGUAGAGGCACAUGCCUAGGCGCCCCACCAAGUUGAUCGAUAGUUGAAAAUGAGUUAUGGUCCACCUUUCUGUUUGGCCCUCAUUUGGUUAUUUGUCAAUGGAUUUAUCGCCAAGUCAUCGCGCCAUCAACCAGUUUCUUUAAAAUAUUCUUUCCAUUUGAUUUGAUUUUUUGAAACAUUCUUUUUGGGACACCCCGCUAAAGUCGAUAACGACAUGACACACAGUCCCAUUGUUUCUGAGAGGCCGAAGCGUUUCAGACCGGAACAUCAUUCGUAUAUGUUUUGGAUUUUCCCCAUCUGUUUCACUAGAAAACAAACUGAAUUUUCAUUUUUCGAUUCGAAUAGUAAGUGACUUGUGACUUUCUGUCCUACCAUUUUUCACGCUACCCAAUCAAAAAGGAAAGAAAAUUGUACAUCAUCUUCAUUGGCAAGGCAACGCGUUAAGGAAUUCCUGUCGUAGUGGCAAUGAAAGACGAACACUUGGUACAACAAUGAAAUCGAUUUUAUAUCCCAUGGCAUCGGCCGAUAUCUAAGCGGGACAAACAACGAUCCCACAUUCGU
rnacentral:lncRNA from 1 species